rnacentral:rRNA from 1 species
UACGUAGGGUGCGAGCGUUGUCCGGAAUUAUUGGGCGUAAAGAGCUUGUAGGCGGUUUGUCGCGUCUGCCGUGAAAAUCCGGGGCUCAACCCCGGACUUGCGGUGGGUACGGGCAGACUAGAGUGUGGUAGGGGAGACUGGAAUUCCUGGUGUAGCGGUGAAAUGCGCAGAUAUCAGGAGGAACACCGAUGGCGAAGGCAGGUCUCUGGGCCACUACUGACGCUGAGAAGCGAAAGCAUGGGGAGCGAACCGG